GAUGAACGCUAGCGGCAGGCCUAACACAUGCAUGUCGAGGGGUAACUAGAGUGAUAGCAAUAUUACUUUGGCUAGACCGGCGCACGGGUGCGUAACACGUAUGCAACCUACCUUAUACUGGGGAAUAACUUCGAGAAAUCGGCGCUAAUACCCCAUAACACUGCGGAGAGGCAUCUCUUUGCAGUUAAAGCUCCGGCGGUAUAAGAUGGGCAUGCGUCCAAUUAGCUAGUUGGUGAGGUAACGGCUCACCAAGGCUACGAUUGGUAGGGGUUCUGAGAGGAUGAUCCCCCACACUGGUACUGAGACCCGGACCAGACUCCUACGGGAGGCAGCAGUGAGGAAUAUUGCGCAAUGGACGAAAGUCUGACGCAGCCAUGCCGCGUGCAGGAUGACGGCCCUAUGGGUUGUAAACUGCUUUUGUACGGGAAUAAACCCUUCUACGUGUAGGAGGCUGAAGGUACCGUAAGAAUAAGCACCGGCUAACUCCGUGCCAGCAGCCGCCGUAA
rnacentral:rRNA from 1 species